rnacentral:rRNA from 1 species
GGGCCCGCACAAGCGGUGGAUUAUGUGGAUUAAUUCGAUGCAACGCGAAAAACCUUACCUGGCCUUGACAUGUACCGAAUUUAGCAGAGAUGCUUUAGUGCUCGUAAGAGAACGGUAACACAGGUGCUGCAUGGCUGUCGUCAGCUCGUGUCGUGAGAUGUUGGGUUAAGUCCCGCAACGAGCGCAACCCUUGCCAUUAAUUGCCAUCAUUUAGUUGGGCACUUUAAUGGGACUGCCGGUGACAAACCGGAGGAAGGUGGGGAUGACGUCAAGUCCUCAUGGCCCUUAUGGCCAGGGCUUCACACGUAAUACAAUGGUCGGUACAGAGGGCUGCUAACCCGCGAGGGGGUGCUAAUCUCAGAAAACCGAUCGUAGUCCGGAUUGUUGUCUGCAACUCGACAGCAUGAAGUCGGAAUCGCUAGUAAUCG